UACGUAGGUGGCAAGCGUUGUCCGGAUUUACUGGGCGUAAAGAGCGCGCAGGCGGUCGUUCAAGUCGCGUGUGAAAGCCCCCGGCUCAACUGGGGAGGGUCACGCGAUACUGAUCGACUCGAAGGCAGGAGAGGGAAGUGGAAUUCCCGGUGUAGUGGUGAAAUGCGUAGAUAUCGGGGAGGAACACCGGUGGCGAAGGCGGUUCUCUGGGCAUUACCUGACGCUGAGGAGCGAAAGUGUGGGGAGCGAACAGG
rnacentral:rRNA from 1 species